ACAAGCGCAGCCAUUGUCCCGCGCGCGGACGCUUGCUGUCGCCGAGCAGCUCGGCCCUUCAGAAUUAACCCCAGCGGCCUUGCGGAUGCUGACUAGGAGAGGGGACCGAACUAGCUUAACCCGAGUCGGCCGUGUUGCAGAAUCGGGGCAGGGGGUUGCUUAACCCGAGUUCGUCCUGCCGCAGAGCCGUGCCAGGCACUGAGGCGGUGACAGGCCCAGCCUGGGCUGCGGGCCAGCGGACGCCCAGGUUGGUAGGGGCGUGGGGCAGCGCUUGGUGUCCGAUGCGCGCAUGCGCAGGGUCUACGCGGGAAGCUGGAAGCGGUGUGCAGCUCAGGACCUCAGCACCCUGCUGUGCCUGGAGGAGAGCAUGGAAGAGCAGGAUGACAAGCCCCCAGAGCCCCCGAAGGCCUGUGCACAGGAUUCUUUCCUUCCUCAAGAGAUUAUCAUCAAAGUCGAGGGAGAAGACACUGGGUCUCUGACCAUCCCAUCUCAGACUUUUCCUCCUCCAUGAACUUUGGAAGGAAAUGAUGCCCAGCUGAGCAGGAAUGUGUGUCCUUUUUUAG
rnacentral:sRNA from 1 species